GACAGUUUUAAAAAUGGGAGUUUUCCUGCACAAGCUCUCUCUCUUUGCCUACUGCCAUCCAGGAAGACGUGACUUGCUUCUUCUUGCCUUCCACUAUGAUUGUGGGAAGGCCUCCCCAGUCAUGUGGAACUGUGCUGUGUGAAGAAUGGAAACAUGCAACAAUAAAGACACCAGUCCUGGUGGACCUGAUGGCCUAUGUCUGGUGUGGCGGGGGACAGAUAAGUAAACAGAUCGUCCUAUACGGGGUAGCCAACGCUAUCAUCUGAUAGAAAAUUUGGAUUAAUGAAUGACGUAACUGCUUCAGGGCAACACACCCUCACUGCAGCUGCUUAGCCCAGGAAGCAGCAAGGUCAAUACAAGGAGAGCCACAGGCCUGGGGAGAUGCAUGCCUUCCUUCCUGGCCACGUGGAUCUCACUACUUAGCCCAGAUGGCCUGCGAGAAGGACAAAGCCAAGCACUUCACAACACUGUCAGUUGCUGUCCUGAAGAAGGUGGCCAGGAGCUCUAGAAGGAUUCAAAGCCCCAGGGAUUUUUGGUUUUUAUGUAUACACUUCUCUUUACAUACUUGUUCCUCAACAUCCAAUCAGCCUUGCAGGGAUGAUGUAAUAGCCAGAAAAAUAAGUGAACAGAAGAUUCCGGGUUCUACUUUAUGCCAAUUUUUCUUAAAUAUCUCAGUCACUAGAAAAAGAUCUAUUUGAAAAUCUUGCUCUGAGCAGUUUCUGUCUUGGGCCCAGUUGUUUGAGGAGCCUGUUGAAUUUUUAAAUUUAUUAGUGUUCCCAUGCUUCAUUCAUUGGCAUAUAUGUAUAUUCUCUAUACUUUAUAAUUACAAGUAAGCUCUUGAUAAUAAAAAGUAACUGUCAUUCUGUGAAGCUCUUUAAUGCAGCCAAAGAUAAUUUCAGGGGGCAAUUGGCAGUCUAAGUCCUUGCUUUCUCUCAUUUUAAAGGAGAACCAAAUCAACUUAGAGUGAAUUUGUUCAAAUGUGGGUAAGAUUUAACAGGCACUUCAGCUGCCCAGGGUACUUUUCCAUGUCUCUCCAACCAACCCCACCCAAAUAGCUUAGGAUUGGCAUUUUCUGAUGAGCACAGGGAUAGAGAAUGAGAACGGAGUCAGGUCCUCAGGUAUUCAAGGUUAGAAUUCCUUCUUAACCUUGCCCACUAUGCCCUAUGUGGGGACAUGCUACAGCAGAGAUCACUUGAGAAUUAUCCUGUGGCUCACACUGCCAUAAUUAGUUAUCUGUUCGGCACCUCUCAACUAAUCAGAACAAUGGCACAUCCAAAAGUAAAAGGAGAAGAAAGGAGACAAGAAUACAGCGACUGAAUAAUAAAA
rnacentral:lncRNA from 1 species